rnacentral:rRNA from 1 species
AACGAACGCUGGCGGCAUGCCUAACACAUGCAAGUCGAACGAGACCUUCGGGUCUAGUGGCGCACGGGUGCGUAACGCGUGGGAAUCUGCCCUUUGGUUCGGAAUAACAGUUAGAAAUGACUGCUAAUACCGGAUGAUGACUUCGGUCCAAAGAUUUAUCGCCAGAGGAUGAGCCCGCGUAGGAUUAGGUAGUUGGUGGGGUAAAGGCCUACCAAGCCGACGAUCCUUAGCUGGUCUGAGAGGAUGAUCAGCCACACUGGGACUGAGACACGGCCCAGACUCCUACGGGAGGCAGCAGUGGGGAAUAUUGGACAAUGGGCGCAAGCCUGAUCCAGCAAUGCCGCGUGAGUGAUGAAGGCCUUCGGGUCGUAAAGCUCUUUUACCAGGGAUGAUAAUGACAGUACCUGGAGAAUAAGCUCCGGCUAACUCCGUGCCAGCCGCCGCCGUAAAAC